AAAGUAACUGAAUGCAGAGCUGCCCGGAAGACCCCACAGAAACAGCUUCAGGCAGGAGGCUGUGAUCUGGCUCAUGAUUCUGUCCUUCCUGGUGAGCAAGGCACAGCUGAGUGGCCCCAUCCAAGGAACACAGUGGAGUGUGAAGUGGAGGUCUUCACACACAGAGCCGGCCAGAACCAGAACUGGACAGAGCCUUCAAAGGCCCACCCCUGCAGACCUCCUUCCACCAGGCGAGCACCAUCUCCUGGAAGAGCCACAGCUUUCAAAACAGUGCCACAAGCAAGAGACUGAGUGCUUACACAUGAGCCUGCAAGAAUCUUGGUACAAACCCCCAUGAACCUGUAACUCUUGCAUACUACUUGGCUGAUGCCAGAUACUGCUGCUCACUUAAGAAGGACCACCUCUCCUUUGGACCUCAGUUGCACUGGAUUCUAGUGCUUGCAUGGAUGUCUGAUUGGACUUCUCGAAGAAGCAGGGAAGGACAAGUCUAAAGUGUCUAAUGUAAACAGAAAAUCACAUUUAGUUAUGAUUAAGAAGCAGUAGAACAACUCUUUCUUAUGAAUAUAGCAAAGGAGACAAUUCCAGCACUAUGCCUGUGUCCUUCCCAGAGUUGUGGGAAGGUCUGGGCAUCCUGGAGCCUCAAAAGGAAGGGAAGCACCCCUGUUUUCCUGGUGGACUGGUCCUGCCUGCAGCUGUGCUGUAAUGUUCUGCAGUGACUUGUUCUUCCUUGGGUCCCACAGGGGAGGCCCCGGACUCAGUAGGACCUGGCCACCUUCUUCUUCUUCUUUUUUUGUUUUUGUCAAAUGUGCUGUUUAAGUCUCUCAGUUGUAAUCCACGGAGUGCAUUUUGUUCCUCUCAAGUAAUCCCUGUUUUCAUUAAGCCCCAAAUGAAGUUCGAUCAGCAUCACUGAAUGCGAAGGCUCAGGCUCAUUGACAGUCAAUGGUGCAUGCUUCCAAUGCACACUGCAUCCUAUUAGAGUGGUCUCUUCUGAGACAUUUCCCUUUAAUGGACCAAGAAACUCCCAAGUGGGGAUCCUUGAUUAAAAUCUCUUCUGAUGGUGUGUGAAGAAAUCUGCAAAAC